UUUGCCAAGGGAGAAGAGGGGUUAGGAGAGACGGAAGAGGGAUCACAUGAAGAGUACUCUUGAGCUAGCAAAGGUGCGAUGAUCAGUAAUUACUAAUCAUAACAUUUACACUCAAGCUUCAAGCGCUGGAGGGGAGAGCGCGUGUCUAUGGAAAGGCUCAUUCUGUAUGAUUGAUUGUUUAAUAAGGCUAAUAGGGAGUUGACAAAGGACAUUAAGAGCUCGAAGUCUAUCGGGCAGUAAUGGGAAUCCCGCGGCUGUCAGCGUAAAGACCCGAAGUAGGACGCGCUGUCAGCUCGACACUUCAGGAAGUUGAGAGGCCAAUAACACAACAAUAAAGAUAUCCACACAGUAGGUGCUUGUCCGUGUUAGCAGAACACGUGUCUGGCUCCAAGGCAACAGUCAGCACCUCACAGUGAAUGAGAGUCUCGGGCCACUGCAACAUCUCAGAUUGCAUAGAAGACACAACAAAUCAAAUGGGUGGUGGAUUUUGGCAGAGAGAAAACUGUCAUUCAUGAAGCUGAUGGAGAUAGUGUGCACACUGUACAUACAGUGCAGUGUGUAAGUAUUUGGACAGUGCCAGACGUUUUUUUAACUUUUAUUAUUUGGCUUGGUACUCGAGCACAUUGGAUUCGAAAUAAAACAAUAACUUGAGCUGACUUUCAGCUUUAAGUUGAGGGUGUUUACAUCCAUAGCAGGUAAAAGAGAAAUACAAUUUAUGAGUGCUUGUGGAUUUCUAAGUCAUUUUAUUGUUUAGAAUCCCACACGGUGACAACUCAGUCCCUUUCGAUUUUAACAUGUGUUAUGAUAAAUGCUCGUUGCUGUUCUCACUGAAUAGAUAUGGAGAUUGCUACAUUGUCUGGUCUGACCCUGGGGGAUUAGCUAGCCAGCUGAAGAACUGUAACAGCAAGGACAUUAAAAAAAUUUGGGUUUGGAUAAAGAAGUAACCUCCUGCUUUCUUCCUUUUUUCUGUCUGGCUUGAUUACCCUCCAUCGGGAAUUUGCCUGUCCAUCAAUCCAGGUGCCCUUCUUCAUGGAUGCUGAGAGUUUGAAUGUCAACCUCAAAAUAUCUGUGAGGUUAUUUUCACACCUAGGAUCUCCAUCACCCUCUACUGGUAAAUAUGGAAGCAGUUGAGCUGAUGUGGUUCUAUACAUCCAGGCUCUAUCUGUGCAAUUGACGCCAAUAAAUAUGUCUUGCUGCCUA